rnacentral:sRNA from 1 species
ACGUGGAAAACUGAGUGGACAUGGUGUUCAGGAGAUUGAGGCUCAGCUAAAUUCCAGCUUAUUUACCUGCAGUUGCUUACAAAGUGUUUGGACAUAAUUGUGUAAAGCUAGGGUUUUUUUUCUGGUUUUUAAAACAGGUAAAGGAUGUCACAGCACCACUUAAUAACAUUUCUUCUGAAGUCCAGAUUUUAACAUCUGAUGCCAAUAAAUUAACUGCUGAGAACAUCACUAGUGCUACCCGAGUGGUUGGACAGAUAUUCAACACUUCCAGAAAUGCUUCACCUGAGGCAAAGAAAGUUGCCAUAGUAACAGUGAGUCAACUCCUAGAUGCCAGUGAAGAUGCUUUUCAAAGAGUUGCUGCUACUGCUAAUGAUGAUGCCCUUACAACGUAAGCACAAAUUCAAUUUGGAAAGAAAACUUGACUAAGUGCUGUUUACUUUCCUAGGCUAAAGUAUUAACAGAGAUAUCUUUAUUUCUCUCAUGGAUGCAGUAACUGACUGAUUCCUCUGGAAUGUAGAUAAGAGCUGUGACUUUCCACUUGACCUUCAGUUACCAGAUGGA